rnacentral:rRNA from 1 species
GACGAACGCUGGCGGCGUGCUUAACACAUGCAAGUCGAACGGAAAGGCCCUGCUUUUGUGGGGUGCUCGAGUGGCGAACGGGUGAGUAACACGUGAGUAACCUGCCCUUGACUUUGGGAUAACUUCAGGAAACUGGGGCUAAUACCGGAUAGGAGCUCCUGCUGCAUGGUGGGGGUUGGAAAGUUUCGGCGGUUGGGGAUGGACUCGCGGCUUAUCAGCUUGUUGGUGGGGUAGUGGCUUACCAAGGCUUUGACGGGUAGCCGGCCUGAGAGGGUGACCGGCCACAUUGGGACUGAGAUACGGCCCAAACUCCUACGGGAGGCAGCAGUGGGGAAUAUUGCACAAUGGGCGGAAGCCUGAUGCAGCAACGCCGCGUGCGGGAUGACGGCCUUCGGGUUGUAAACCGCUUUCGCCUGUGACGAAGCGUGAGUGACGGUAAUGGGUAAAGAAGCACCGGCUAACUACGUGCCAGCAGCCGCGGUGAUACGUAGGGUGCGAGCGUUGUCCGGAUUUAUUGGGCGUAAAGGGCUCGUAGGUGGUUGAUCGCGUCGGAAGUGUAAUCUUGGGGCUUAACCCUGAGCGUGCUUUCGAUACGGGUUGACUUGAGGAAGGUAGGGGAGAAUGGAAUUCCUGGUGGAGCGGUGGAAUGCGCAGAUAUCAGGAGGAACACCAGUGGCGAAGGCGGUUCUCUGGGCCUUUCCUGACGCUGAGGAGCGAAAGCGUGGGGAGCGAACAGGCUUAGAUACCCUGGUAGUCCACGCUGUAAACGGUGGGUACUAGGUGUGGGGUCCAUUCCACGGGUUCCGUGCCGUAGCUAACGCUUUAAGUACCCCGCCUGGGGAGUACGGCCGCAUGGCUAAAACUCAAAGGAAUUGACGGGGCCCCGCACAAGCGGCGGAGCAUGCGGAUUAAUUCGAUGCAACGCGUAGAACCUUACCUGGGUUUGACAUGGAUCGGGAGUGCUCAGAGAUGGGUGUGCCUCUUUUGGGGUCGGUUCACAGGUGGUGCAUGGCUGUCGUCAGCUCGUGUCGUGAGAUGUUGGGUUAAGUCCCGCAACGAGCGCAACCCUUGUUCACUGUUGCCAGCACGUUAUGGUGGGGACUCAGUGGAGACCGCCGGGGUCAACUCGGAGGAAGGUGGGGAUGACGUCAAGUCAUCAUGCCCCUUAUGUCCAGGGCUUCACGCAUGCUACAAUGGCUGGUACAGAGAGUGGCGAGCCUGUGAGGGUGAGCGAAUCUCGGAAAGCCGGUCUCAGUUCGGAUUGGGGUCUGCAACUCGACCUCAUGAAGUCGGAGUCGCUAGUAAUCGCAGAUCAGCAACGCUGCGGUGAAUACGUUCCCGGGGCU